rnacentral:tRNA from 1 species
GCCCCAGUGGCCCAAUGGAUAAGGCAUCGGUCUCCUAAACCGGGGAUUGUGGGUUCGAAUCCCACCUGGGGUA